rnacentral:rRNA from 1 species
GCUCCUAGUACGAGAGGACCGGAGUGGACGCAUCACUGGUGUUCGGGUUGUCAUGCCAAUGGCACUGCCCGGUAGCUAAAUGCGGAAGAGAUAAGUGCUGAAAGCAUCUAAGCACGAAACUUGCCCCGAGAUGAGUUCUCCCUGACUCCUUGAGAGUCCUGAAGGAACGUUGAAGACGACGACGUUGAUAGGCCGGGUGUGUAAGCGCAGCGAUGCGUUGAGCUAACCGGUACUAAUGAACCGUGAGGCUUAACCUU